UACGUAGGGUGCGAGCGUUGUCCGGAAUUAUUGGGCGUAAAGGGCUCGUAGGCGGUUUGUCGCGUCUGCUGUGAAAACUGGAGGCUCAACCUCCAGCCUGCAGUGGGUACGGGCAAACUAGAGUGCGGUAGGGGGAGAUUGGAAUUCCUGGUGUAGCGGUGGAAUGCGCAGAUAUCAGGAGGAACACCGAUGGCGAAGGCAGAUCUCUGGGCCGUAACUGACGCUGAGGAGCGAAAGCAUGGGGAGCGAACAGG
rnacentral:rRNA from 1 species